GACGAGCGCUGGCGGCGUGCUUAACACAUGCAAGUCGAACGGAAAGGCCCUGCUUGCAGGGUACUCGAGUGGCGAACGGGUGAGUAACACGUGGGUGAUCUGCCCUGCACUUCGGGAUAAGCCUGGGAAACUGGGUCUAAUACCGGAUAGGAGCCAUCUUUAGUGUGAUGGUUGGAAAGUUUUUUCGGUGUGGGAUGAGCUCGCGGCCUACCAGUUUGUUGGUGGGGUAAUGGCCUACCAAGGCGGCGACUGGUAGCCGGCCUGGGAGGGUGGACGGCCACAUUGGGACUGGGAGACGGCCCAGACUCCGACGGGAGGCAGCAGUGGGGAAUAUUGCACAAUGGGAGCAAGCCUGAUGCAGCGACGCCGGGUGGGGGAUGACGGCCUUCGGGUUGUAAACUCCUUUCGCUAGGGACGAAGCUUUUUGUGACGGUACCUAGAUAAGAAGCACCGGCUAACUACGUG
rnacentral:rRNA from 1 species